GGUGAGAUGGCCGAGCGGUCUAAGGCGCCAGACUAAGGUCUUUAACAAUAUCUGGUCCGAAAGGGCGUGGGUUCGAAUCCCACUCUCAUCA